rnacentral:tRNA from 1 species
GCGGGUGUAGUUUAGUGGUAGAACAUCAGCCUUCCAAGCUGAUCGUGAGGGUUCGAUUCCCUUCACCCGCUCCA